rnacentral:lncRNA from 1 species
UUUUUUGGCCGUGCUUAAACCGUGGAUAUAAACUGACAGCAGGUUUCCUUUGGAACGGUUAAAGCUGUUUCUGGUGUUUUGUAUGUACCACUGACUCCAACAACACUUACUUUUU